GUAAUCAAUGUGCAGACUAAUAAUUCUCACACAACUGUAAACUAAGAUUGGUUCUUUCCAUCUCCACCUCAGCGACAAGCACCGUAACAAUAAGCAUAUUUAUGCAACAAUAAAAAUCAGCAAGCAGUUGUUGUCUUGCCGCCCUUCUCGUCAGGGUGUGUGAGGGGGCUUGUAAUGUGUCCCAUGGCACGAGCAUCAAGCAUGGCCCCGAGCCAUCAUGUAGUAAACCAGCAAAGUUCCCCAUCACUUGACACCAUAUGAUUUCUAUUACCAUGUGGACAAAUAUUUACCUGAUAAGCACUUAAAGAAAGAAAAACAGUCCUUCAUUCCUAGGAGCCGAUAAGUAGAUCAUCAUAUCCUUCUUUUUCCAUAUGCACGCCCUCUUAUUGUAGAGAUGGUGUGGGUAACAAAGAAGUUUUGCCUAUCGGUGCCGUCCAUUGCGAGGAACCUCCAGCAACAGUGAUUCUUGAUCAGAAUCCUUCCCUGGAGGGGUCAUUGAGGAUGAUAAUUCAUAUGGGGGUAAUAUGAACAGGUUAAGUGAUACUGCUCCUCCUUGAGUGGGAUUACCAGGUUAUGCCAGAAAUGAUUUUUUUUUUCUGAACUGAGAGGAAGCUUGUUUAGGUCUCCUCUCGAUUCUGCAUCUUCAUGAACAAAACAAAAUUACAAGAAAUCUCCAUGUUACAUGAAAUAAGCCAAAGAAAGUAACUGCAAAAAUCUAGAAAAAUGUAUGUGUAGUGCAGAACCAGAGGAAUCAACCAAGCCAGCUGACUUGUGAAGCUUUGAGAGACUUCAUGGGUGGACCUGGGUAAGCCCUUUGGGAGGGGGAUCGGUGGGGGGGUGGGGGGGCUUUGAUCGAUGGGACUAAUGAAACAAGUGAAACGACCUAGGUACUCCCCUUUAAUAUUAGAGAUUUUACACACAAAUCAAGCAAUUGAUGUUUCUGCAACUGAAUGCCCUUUAUUCCUUGUACUCCUAGCUCAAGCAGUCCAAGAAACAUUGUUCUAAAUAUAUAUAUUGGUUAUCAUGUAAGUCAAGUAUGUGAUAUCACCAGAAACAUAAACUGGCUACUUCAGUUUUUAGGAGUCAUUUAUCACCUGUAUUAUGUUCAAAUUACUUGUGUCCUAGUGUGCUAGUGAAAAAAUAUGUUACAGUUGACGAAAGUGCAAAAAAUGGCAUUCGGGCUUACAAACCUACAUUGAGCCAAUCCUCUGCUCAGUCGUCCAUUGCCGAUGAUGGUUGUCUUGUCACCAUGCUACCCUUCCCUGCUGACCACGUGAUAUGACAUUGGUUGUUGCACGCUGGAUUUAAGUACUUCAAAAUAUGGAGGCACCUUCAGUCC
rnacentral:lncRNA from 1 species